GAUGAACGCUGGCGGCGUGCCUAAUACAUGCAAGUCGAGCGAACAGACGAGGAGCUUGCUCCUCUUACGUUAGCGGCGGACGGGUGAGUAACACGUGGAUAACCUACCUAUAAGACUGGGAUAACUUCGGGAAACCGGAUCUAAUACCGGAUAAUAUAUUGAACCGCAUGGUUCAAUAGUGAAAGACGGUUUUGCUGUCACUAAUAGAUGGAUCCGCGCCGCAUUAGCUAGUUGGUAAGGUAACGGCUUACCAAGGCAACGAUGCGUAGCCGACCUGAGAGGGUGAUCGGCCACACUGGAACUGAGACACGGUCCAGACUCCUACGGGAGGCAGCAGUAGGGAAUCUUCCGCAAUGGGCGAAAGCUUGACGGAGCAACGCCGCGUGAGUGAUGAAGGUCUUCGGAUCGUAAAACUCUGUUAUUAGGGAAGAACAAAUGUGUAAGUAACUAUGCACGUCUUGACGGUACCUAAUCAGAAAGCCACGGCUAACUACGUG
rnacentral:rRNA from 1 species